rnacentral:rRNA from 1 species
GGAUCCAGACUUUGAUUCUGGCUCAGGAUGAACGCUAGCUACAGGCUUAACACAUGCAAGUCGAGGGGCAGCAUGACGAUAGCUUGCUAUUGUUGAUGGCGACCGGCGCACGGGUGAGUAACGCGUAUCCAACCUGCCCUUGUCCAUCGGAUAACCCGUCGAAAGGCGGCCUAACACGAUAUGCAGUUCUCAGCAGGCAUCUAACGAGAACGAAAUGUGAAGGAGAAGGAUGGGGAUGCGUCUGAUUAGCUUGUUGGCGGGGUAACGGCCCACCAAGGCGACGAUCAGUAGGGGUUCUGAGAGGAAGGUCCCCCACAUUGGAACUGAGACACGGUCCAAACUCCUACGGGAGGCAGCAGUGAGGAAUAUUGGUUAAUGGGCGAGAGCCUGAACCAGCCAAGUAGCGUGCAGGAUGACGGCCCUAUGGGUUGUAAACUGCUUUUAUGCGGGGAUAAAGUGAGUCACGUGUGGCUUAUUGCAGGUACCGCAUGAAUAAGGACCGGCUAAUUCCGUGCCAGCAGCCGCGGUAAUACGGAAGGUCCGGGCGCUAUCCGGAUUUAUUGGGUUUAAAGGGAGCGUAGGCCGUCUGAUAAGCGUGUUGUGAAAUGUCGGGGCUCAACCUGGGCAUUGCAGCGCGAACUGUGAGACUUGAGUGCGCGGGAAGUAGGCGGAAUUCGUCGUGUAGCGGUGAAAUGCUUAGAUAUGACGAAGAACUCCGAUUGCGAAGGCAGCCUGCUGUAGCGCAACUGACGCUGAAGCUCGAAAGCGUGGGUAUCGAACAGGAUUAGAUACCCUGGUAGUCCACGCGGUAAACGAUGGAUGCUCGCUGUUUGCGUCUGACGUAAGCGGCCAAGCGAAAGCGUUAAGCAUCCCACCUGGGGAGUACGCCGGCAACGGUGCAACUCAAAGGAAUUGACG